rnacentral:rRNA from 1 species
AAUAUCAAAGGUGAGCCAGUACAGGAUGGACCCGCGUCUGAUUAGCUAGCUGGUAAGGUAACGGCUUACCAAGGCGACGAUCAGUAGCCGACCUGAGAGGGUGAUCGGCCACAUUGGAACUGAGACACGGUCCAAACUCCUACGGGAGGCAGCAGUGGGGAAUAUUGCACAAUGGGCGAAAGCCUGAUGCAGCAACGCCGCGUGAGUGAUGAAGGCCUUCGGGUCGUAAAACUCUGUCCUCAAGGAAGAUAAUGACGGUACUUGAGGAGGAAGCCCCGGCUAACUACGUGCCAGCAGCCGCGGUAAUACGUAGGGGGCUAGCGUUAUCCGGAUUUACUGGGCGUAAAGGGUGCGUAGGCGGUCUUUCAAGUCAGGAGUGAAAGGCUACGGCUCAACCGUAGUAAGCUCUUGAAACUGGGGGACUUGAGUGCAGGAGAGGAGAGUGGAAUUCCUAGUGUAGCGGUGAAAUGCGUAGAUAUUAGGAGGAACACCAGUUGCGAAGGCGGCUCUCUGGACUGUAACUGACGCUGCGGCACGAAAGCGUGGGGAGCAAACAGGAUUAGAUCCCCUGGUAGUCCACGCUGUAAACGAUGAGUACUAGGUGUCGGGGGUUACGCCCUUCGGUGCCGCAGCUAACGCAUUAAG